CCUACGGGUGGCAGCAGUAGGGAAUCUUCCACAAUGGGCGAAAGCCUGAUGGAGCAACGCCGCGUGGGUGAAGAAGGUCUUCGGAUCGUAAAACUCUGUUGUUAGAGAAGAAAGUGCGUGCGAGUAACUGUUCACGUUUCGACGGUAUCUAACCAGAAAGCCACGGCUCACUACGUGCCAGCAGCCGCGGUAAUACGUAGGUGGCAAGCGUUAUCCGGAUUUAUUGGGCGUAAAGGGAACGCAGGCGGUCUGUUAAGUCUGAUGUGAAAGCCUUCGGCUUAACCGGAGUAGUGCAUUGGAAACUGGGAGACGUGAGUGCAGAAGAGGAGGGUGGAACUCGAGGUGUAGCGGUGAAAUGCGUAGAUAUAUGGAAGAACACCAGUGGCGAAGGCGGCUCUCUGGUCUGUAACUGACGCUGAGGUUCGAAAGCGUGGGUAGCAAACAGGAUUAGAUACCCCAGUAGUC
rnacentral:rRNA from 1 species